CUACCUACGGGGCGCAGCAGUGGGGAAUAUUGCGCAAUGGGCGAAAGCCUGACGCAGCGACGCCGCGUGAGGGAUGAAGGUCUUCGGAUCGUAAACCUCCGUCAGCAGGGAAGAACGGUCACUGUGCUAAUCAGCAGUGAAUUGACGGUACCUGCAAAGGAAGCACCGGCUAACUCCGUGCCAGCAGCCGCGGUAAUACGGUGGGUGCGAGCGUUAAUCGGAAUUACUGGGCGUAAAGCGCUCGUAGGCGGGAUGUCUAGUCAUGGGUGAAAGCCCCG
rnacentral:rRNA from 1 species